UCUCAGGGUGUUCAUUACCCCAGGCCUCAGGAUGCUGUGGGUGAUAAUCGUGCUGCAGGAGUGAUAAUAAGAAAACUCAUUAUGUGGCUGAAUAAAACUGGAAAGGCCACCCUUAUGGAUACCCUGCUGGAGACCCUCGGUGAGAUACAACAGACACCAUCCAGAACAAUCUUGUAGCCAUCUGCUACCUACGAGAGGGAUAUCUCCCUUACCUCCAGAAACUGCACAGGUACACCGGGAAAGAAUUCCAAAAACCACCACCACGAAGAAUAAUACUACUACUAUCAC